GGAUGUGAGGGCGAUCUGGCUGCGACAUCUGUCACCCCAUUGAUCGCCAGGGUUGAUUCGGCUGAUCUGGCUGGCUAGGCGGGUGUCCCCUUCCUCCCUCACCGCUCCAUGUGCGUCCCUCCCGAAGCUGCGCGCUCGGUCGAAGAGGACGACCAUCCCCGAUAGAGGAGGACCGUUCUUCGGUCAAGGGUAUACGAGUAGCUGCGCUCCCCUGCUAGAACCUCCAAAUAAAUAAAAUCUUUAAAAAAAAGUAUAUUUCCAAUGCCUUCUGAUCCUACCUUGCUAAAAGUUCCACUUGUA
rnacentral:snRNA from 1 species